GUCUGCUUGAUCAGGAGGUAAUGUGAUCUGUGAUCUUCUGUCAGGGAGGAUGAGGCCAAGAGCUUGCACGUUCCAAAGGUGGACUGGUGAGCAGAUGGAGACCAGACGAGUUCAUCUUUCUCCCUGUAGUCCAGGCUGAGUGUUUUGUGCCACUCUGAGAAGUGGGUCAGAGCAGCAGAGGAGCCCACCACCAGUCACUUUUGGCUGCUUCAAGUCACGUCACAUAAACAAUGGCACUUCAUGGGGAGAGGCUCGUCUUCCUUCCUGCCUGGCUUCCUGUCGAUCGUUCUGCCUGACUUGGCAAACUCAAUGUGUCUUCCCCCCGCCCCCACUCCCAGCAGACCUCCCUCCCUCCUGAAUCAGACCGCCAACUUGGUCAAAACUGAGGAAGGGAAGGAAAAAGUGGGAUGACAAAGAAGAAAUGAUAAAUGACACCGAAGCUACAAUAGGCCUCUGUGGAAGUGGAACAUACCAAGUCAACAUGUAGGAUCCAUUGAAAUGUAGAUAGCAGUGGUGGGGUGUGAAGGUAUUGAAUGUACUGUUUGGCACCUACAGUGCACUAAACUUUUAACCCCGCCCACGACCUCCAGCUCCUUUCUCAUGCAGGCCCUUCUGACCAGAUUGAUGAUAGCGGUGCACUUCCUCUGCAGGGAGCGCGACCUUUGCUUGAAUAAUAGGUGACUGUUGAUUAGCCUGUCUCAUUAACAUUCAAGGCUAGUUUUCUUUCCUUUUUCACUGUGCUUCCAGUAUGGAAAAUGAUGAAUUGCAAAAUUAUUAAAUUCAGCAUGAGGCAUGGGUGGUCUUCUCUUGCAGUGAAUUUAAUCUGAUUAUUUUAAAAAUUAAAAAUAUUUUUUUUUACUAUA